CACUAUCGUUAACUGAAUACAUAGGUUAACGAGGCGAACCGGGGGAACUGAAACAUCUAAGUACCCCGAGGAAAAGAAAUCAACCGAGAUUCCCCCAGUAGCGGCGAGCGAACGGGGAGCAGCCCAGAGUCUGAAUCAGCUUGUGUGUUAGUGGAACGGUCUGGAAAGUCCGACGGUACAGGGUGAUAGUCCCGUACACCAAAAUGCACAGGUUGUGAACUCGAAGAGUAGGGCGGGACACGUGGUAUCCUGUCUGAAUAUGGGGGGACCAUCCUCCAAGGCUAAAUACUCCUGACUGACCGAUAGUGAACCAGUACCGUGAGGGAAAGGCGAAAAGAACCCCGGCGAGGGGAGUGAAAAAGAACCUGAAACCGUGUACGUACAAGCAGUGGGAGCACCUUCGGGUGUGACUGCGUACCUUUUGUAUAAUGGGUCAGCGACUUAUAUUCUGUAGCAAGGUUAACCGUAUAGGGGAGCCGCAGGGAAACCGAGUCUUAACUGGGCGUUAAGUUGCAGGGUAUAGACCCGAAACCCGGUGAUCUAGCCAUGGGCAGGUUGAAGGUUGGGUAACACUAACUGGAGGACCGAACCGACUAAUGUUGAAAAAUUAGCGGAUGACUUGUGGCUGGGGGUGAAAGGCCAAUCAAACCGGGAGAUAGCUGGUUCUCCCCGAAAGCUAUUUAGGUAGCGCCUCGUGAACUCAUCUUCGGGGGUAGAGCACUGUUUCGGCUAGGGGGUCAUCCCGACUUACCAACCCGAUGCAAACUACGAAUACCGAAGAAUGUUAUCACGGGAGACACACGGCGGGUGCUAACGUCCGUCGUGAAGAGGGAAACAACCCAGACCGCCAGCUAAGGUCCCAAAGUCAUGGUUAAGUGGGAAACGAUGUGGGAAGGCACAGACAGCCAGGAUGUUGGCUUAGAAGCAGCCAUCAUUUAAAGAAAGCGUAAUAGCUCACUGGUCGAGUCGGCCUGCGCGGAAGAUGUAACGGGGCUAAACCAUGCACCGAAGCUGCGGCAGCGACACUAUGUGUUGUUGGGUAGGGGAGCGUUCUGUAAGCCUGCGAAGGUGUGCUGUGAGGCAUGCUGGAGGUAUCAGAAGUGCGAAUGCUGACAUAAGUAACGAUAAAGCGGGUGAAAAGCCCGCUCGCCGGAAGACCAAGGGUUCCUGUCCAACGUUAAUCGGGGCAGGGUGAGUCGACCCCUAAGGCGAGGCCGAAAGGCGUAGUCGAUGGGAAACAGGUUAAUAUUCCUGUACUUGGUGUUACUGCGAAGGGGGGACGGAGAAGGCUAUGUUAGCCGGGCGACGGUUGUCCCGGUUUAAGCAUGUAGGCUGGUUGUCCAGGCAAAUCCGGAUAAUCAAGGCUGAGGUGUGAUGACGAGGCACUACGGUGCUGAAGUAACAAAUGCCCUGCUUCCAGGAAAAGCCUCUAAGCAUCAGGUAACAUUAAAUCGUACCCCAAACCGACACAGGUGGUCAGGUAGAGAAUACCAAGGCGCUUGAGAGAACUCGGGUGAAGGAACUAGGCAAAAUGGUGCCGUAACUUCGGGAGAAGGCACGCUGGUGUGUAGGUGAAGUCCCUGCGGAUGGAGCUGAGACCAGUCGAAGAUACCAGCUGGCUGCAACUGUUUAUUAAAAACACAGCACUGUGCAAACACGAAAGUGGACGUAUACGGUGUGACGCCUGCCCGGUGCCGGAAGGUUAAUUGAUGGGGUUAUCCGUAAGGAGAAGCUCUUGAUCGAAGCCCCGGUAAACGGCGGCCGUAACUAUAACGGUCCUAAGGUAGCGAAAUUCCUUGUCGGGUAAGUUCCGACCUGCACGAAUGGCGUAAUGAUGGCCAGGCUGUCUCCACCCGAGACUCAGUGAAAUUGAACUCGCUGUGAAGAUGCAGUGUACCCGCGGCAAGACGGAAAGACCCCGUGAACCUUUACUAUAGCUUGACACUGAACAUUGAGCCUUGAUGUGUAGGAUAGGUGGGAGGCUUUGAAGCGUGGACGCCAGUCUGCGUGGAGCCAACCUUGAAAUACCACCCUUUAAUGUUUGAUGUUCUAACGUUGGCCCCUUACCGGGGUUCCCGACAGUGUCUGGUGGGUAGUUUGACUGGGGCGGUCUCCUCCCAAAGCGUAACGGAGGAGCACGAAGGUUAGCUAAUCCUGGUCGGACAUCAGGAGGUUAGUGCAAUGGCAUAAGCUAGCUUGACUGCGAGCGUGACGGCGCGAGCAGGUGCGAAAGCAGGUCAUAGUGAUCCGGUGGUUCUGAAUGGAAGGGCCAUCGCUCAACGGAUAAAAGGUACUCCGGGGAUAACAGGCUGAUACCGCCCAAGAGUUCAUAUCGACGGCGGUGUUUGGCACCUCGAUGUCGGCUCAUCACAUCCUGGGGCUGAAGUAGGUCCCAAGGGUAUGGCUGUUCGCCAUUUAAAGUGGUACGCGAGCUGGGUUUAGAACGUCGUGAGACAGUUCGGUCCCUAUCUGCCGUGGGCGCUGGAGAAUUGAGGGGGGCUGCUCCUAGUACGAGAGGACCGGAGUGGACGCAUCACUGGUGUUCGGGUUGUCAUGCCAAUGGCACUGCCCGGUAGCUAAAUGCGGAAGAGAUAAGUGCUGAAAGCAUCUAAGCACGAAACUUGCCCCGAGAUGAGUUCUCCCUGAGACUUUAAGUCUCCUGAAGGAACGUUGAAGACGACGACGUUGAUAGGCCGGGUGUGUAAGCGCAGCGAUGCGUUGAGCUAACCGGUACUAAUGAACCGUGAGGCUUAACCUU
rnacentral:rRNA from 1 species